UCGGUCUUAAUUUUACACAUACAUGACAGUUCCAUGUUUGGCAACUAUGGUGUUCUGAAUCCAAGAGGAAGAAGAAGGGGUCUUCGUAAAAGCCAUGCAUGGUGCAGAUAGAUUCCCACUGCUUCUAUUAUCAAAUGACAAUGGACGAUGAAGCACUACUGCAGGCGCAUUACUGGUAGUGGUUAGAAGCCUUAUGUGAUUCAGUGAUUGAUGUUUUAAGACUUUCCUUGAAGAUUCCUACACAUCUUUUUGCACCGUUGUUUGUAUAAAGCUCCUGAAAGGUAGAGGCAAUGAGUUGCAGUCCAUUGACAAAAGGAUAAACGAUGAGUCGGCAUUAAGAGAAAGAACCUCUGUGAAGGCAAACACCAUAGACCAUGAUCGAUCCACCCUUUACGUGAUGCAUGCAGAUUACUCUUACUAGAUCAUGUCAACCGUAUGGAAGGAAUGUCCGGUGCAUUACACGCAGAAUAACACCCCUCAAGGAAGACCAAACUGUAUAAGUCUCUCAUCAAUCCCGUCCUGCUAUGUAUAAAGUGCGAAAGUAUGGACGAUGACAACAUCUAAUGAGUCGGAGUUAGGAGUUUUCGAGAGAAGGGUUUUGCGUAAGAUUUAUGGUACGCUGCACGUUGAGAGCGACGAAUACUGCAGCCGAUAGAACGAUGUGCUGUAUGAGACAUACGGCGACAAUUACAUAGUUAAUCGGCUACGUUGGCUAGGUCAUCUGGUCCGAAUGGAUGAAAGCACUCCAGCUUUCCAGGUUUUCGAUGCAGUAUUUGAAGGAGGAAGCCAAAAAAGAGUAGGGCCUCCACUCAGUGGAAAAGACCAGACGGAGAAGGACCUGGCUGUACUUGGUACUUGCUAAUGGCUGUUUACCCGGCUAUAAUCGCGUAAAAGAUGUCGACGCCAGUAAAGAUCAAGAACUGAAACUAGCCUAAGAGAAGAGCAAAGAGACUUGCCAUCCUAUUGAAAAUCCCUCUCUCAACUUUCAUAGCAUUUUGGCUCAAAAAUCUGUUAAAAGAAAGGUGAAGAAAACAAUUAAAACGUAAGCAUAAUAAUAAUUGGUGUUGACUGCAACUUCGGCGGGGAGCUUAUUGAAGUGACGAACUUUCAAAUAAACAAAACAACUCAAAUGACAACUGCCACCUUUACACUCAUUAUGACUCAAUCUCCUAGCUAUCCUAUAUUCCAGAAUAUUGUUUAUUCGGUCCGUCAGAGUAUAUAAUAUUAUAAUACCUUGUCAUAAAUCACAGCAAUCAUCAAGCAACUUCAAGAGCCACAUAUAUAUGCAUUUUAAUGUCCGAAUUCCAACAUAGAC